rnacentral:rRNA from 1 species
UACGGAGGGUGCAAGCGUUAUCCGGAUUCACUGGGUUUAAAGGGUGCGUAGGUGGGUUGGUAAGUCAGUGGUGAAAUCUCCGAGCUUAACUUGGAAGCUGCCAUUGAUACUAUCAGUCUUGAAUAUUGUGGAGGUCAGCGGAAUAUGUCAUGUAGCGGUGAAAUGCUUAGAUAUGACAUAGAACACCAAUUGCGAAGGCAGCUGGCUACGCAUAUAUUGACACUGAGGCACGAAAGCGUGGGGAUCAAACAGG